GCCCAAGACAAUUCAAAUUCAAAUUCAGAGUUAUCAGCUCCAUAAACAAACAGGAAAACAAUGUCAUAUUAUUUGUAUACCAUACAGCAUAUCGCCUUAGUAGAACACCCACAACUGAGGCUGAUGACGACGGCGAGGUCGACGUUGACUUUGACUUGGGGUUCAACUGGAAUCAAAAGAUGCCGCAAGCAUUUGGACUUUGGUUUUGGACGACAACGCAGCGAAUGUAAGCUGGACACGAAGGCCAGUUGUCAAUAUUUUUCAGUAUGGGCCUUGAAGAACUAAAUAUUUGCCUAGAAAUGCGUGCAUUUCACUUCUCACAUUGUGAAACAAAUCGAGUUCAAUGCAUUUGAUUAACACAUCGAGUAUCCAAAGUCAAGCCUCCUCCUCCUAAAUACCCACGAUCCGCAAACGAUUGCCCAUUGCCCGGCUAAUCAGCGCUCCAGACUCGCGGGAACCGGCGAUCAACAGUCAGCUCUUAAUUACAAUUAAAUUGUAUUUUAUUUAUUUUCUUUAUUCUAUUACAACACUAUAAUAAGUUUCAAUUAGAUUUCGUUCAACACGAUUCACAGUAAAAUUAAAUACAGUCCAAAGUCUCAAACUGAACACACACACACAUAUUAUGUGUAUGUAACACAACAAUUACGAUAAUAAAUAAGUACACAACUAUUAUUCUUAAACAAUCU